UGAAAUGAUCAUUGACUCUGUUGCUCAACAAGGUGAGACACGACACUGCCCUGGCUAGAGAAUCCAUAUCUUUAAGAAGUAUGACGACUAAAAGGUUGCUGUCUGCCGCUUUGUGCAUUCUCCUUCUGUCUUCGGAUUUCAUGUUUUCCGAAGCGUUUAAUUCUAAUACUGUUGGUAGACGAAGUGCGAAGCGUCAGGAAAGUCUUCCAGAUGUCUGCCAGUUUGCGUUAGAACGCUGCAGUUUCCCGAUUGCUCAGCGGAGGUCACGUGACACAGACGCUGCUUACGAUUGGUUUAACAAAAGGAAAGUCGAUUACUAACGUCAAUAACAACGAAAAACCCUGAAUAAAAAAAAAAUUCAAUUAUUUUUAUGUUUAAAGUUGUUUUACCAAAUACGACGCUGGAGCUCAAAUGAUUUGAUUGACUGACCAAUGAUCAUAACGCAUGUUUUUUUCAUUGUUAAGUUUUCAGGCUUUCGCUUUUUCAUUCUUGAUUAUAUAUUUUUCAUUUUCAUUUUUGAUGUUUUUUUGUAUUAUUGUUAUAUUAUUAUCAUUGCUGAAUCAUCGCAAUAUUAAUUUAGUCUUAAGUUAAGACUGGUUAUCGUGUACAUCGCUCAGAGUUUCAUACCAUCCGUAGUGCAAACGUCACGUUUCAGAAGCGUUGUAAAUUAAUUUAAAACCUUGUAAAUUUUAACAUAAUAUGUAUAUUAAGAAGUAAACUCUUUGUUGGAUGCAA